GUACACUCCUGCGGGAGGCAGCAGUGGGGAAUAUUGGACAAUGGGCGCAAGCCUGAUCCAGCCACGCCGCGUGAGUGAUGAAGGCCCUAGGGUUGUAAAGCUCUUUCACCGGUGAAGAUAAUGACGGUAACCGGAGAAGAAGCCCCGGCUAACUUCGUGCCAGCAGCCGCGGUAAUACGAAGGGGGCUAGCGUUGUUCGGAUUUACUGGGCGUAAAGCGCACGUAGGCGGACUAUUAAGUCAGGGGUGAAAUCCCGGGGCUCAACCCCGGAACUGCCUUUGAUACUGGUAGUCUUGAGUUCGAGAGAGGUGAGUGGAAGUCCGAGUGUAGAGGUGAAAUUCGUAGAUAUUCGGAGGAACACCAGUGGCGAAGGCGGCUCACUGGCUCGAUACUGACGCUGAGGUGCGAAAGCGUGGGGAGCAAACAGGAUUAGAAACCCGGGUAGUCCCAUGA
rnacentral:rRNA from 1 species